GAUGAACGCUGGCGGCGUGCCUAAUACAUGCAAGUCGAGCGAACAGACGAGGAGCUUGCUCCUCUGACGUUAGCGGCGGACGGGUGAGUAACACGUGGAUAACCUACCUAUAAGACUGGGAUAACUUCGGGAAACCGGAGCUAAUACCGGAUAAUAUAUUGAACCGCAUGGUUCAUAGUGAAAGACGGUUUUGCUGUCACUUAUAGAUGGAUCCGCGCCGCAUUAGCUAGUUGGUAAGGUAACGGCUUACCAAGGCAACGAUGCGUAGCCGACCUGAGAGGGUGAUCGGCCACACUGGAACUGAGACACGGUCCAGACUCCUACGGGAGGCAGCAGUAGGGAAUCUUCCGCAAUGGGCGAAAGCCUGACGGAGCAACGCCGCGUGAGUGAUGAAGGUCUUCGGAUCGUAAAACUCUGUUAUUAGGGAAGAACAAAUGUGUAAGUAACUAUGCACGUCUUGACGGUACCUAAUCAGAAAGCCACGGCUAACUACGUG
rnacentral:rRNA from 1 species